AAGAUUUACUUCCAGGUCCCUGUAACGGGCGUGCAGUGAGCAGGGGAAGGGCAGUUGUCCAUCUUGGGUCACAGCCAGCAGACGUAGAGUGCAGGGUAGCAAGCACCUAGUACUGCCAGGUGGUUGGGUGGAGGUUGCUCGCUUUUCACGGGCUCAGCUCUGGAGGGUUACUUUCCAAGGUGCCCUAGGAAAAGCAGAGUGGGAGCUUGGGGUGGGAAUUCUAAGCUCAGGCCCUUAUCGAAAUGUCCAGACUGGGUGUGAGCAGGCUGUCCUGCUGUAGUCACGCGGGCAGCACCUCAUGAGGGCGGUUUUCUCACUGUGAGACUGGAGCUCUGUACGCGUGUGUGCCGGUGACGUGAGGGUGUGUAUGCGCUGGGGUUGUGUGAAUUCCUGUGAAUAUUCAGGGUGCUUGCAGGAAGUUUGUGUGGUGUGUUGAGUGUAUAUAGUACAGGCUGAGUUGUGUGUGUGAAUUCAGUGUUUAGUGAGUCAUCUUUUCCUUUAAAAACUUACUUAAAUUCUGGCUAGUUAACAUGCAGUGCAAUAUUGGUUUCAGGAGUAGAAUUCAGUGAUUCAUCCCUUACGUCUAACACCCAGGGCUCAUCCAAAGUGCCCUCCUUAAUACUCAUCACCCAUUUACCCCACCCCCGUCAACCCUCAGUUUGGUUCUCUGUCUUUAAGAGUCUCUUAUGGUUUGCCUCCCUGUGUAUUUCCCCCCCUCCCAUAUGUUCAUCUGUUUUGCUUCUUAAAACCACAUAUGAGUGAAAUCAUAGUGAGUAAUCUAAUAUAUACAUUUGAGGAUUGGGGGUUGCUUAUGUAUGUGUCUGGAUGCAUGUGCAGUUGGGACACGAAAGGUCGCGUAUGUGUAUGUUUCUAUUUGUAAGGGGUCCAUAGUGUGUGUGAGGAAUUUCGAAGGGUUCCUGUGUAUUUUGAGAGGUUUAAGGGAUUAGUUCUAUAUAUUCAGUACUUUUAUUUUUCUGGAGGCCUCGGGUUGGGACAGCGGUUGGGGGGACUGUUGUAUGUGUGUGUGUUUUGUGUUUGGAAGGAGGCUGGGGAGAAGCAAUGUGAAUCAGGACAAAGAAGGUUGUGGAAUAGCUUGUGGGUAUAUGGGGGUAUGAGAUAGUUUGGGGUAAUUUUAAGGAUGUGUAGGGAUUGUAUAUGUGUGAUUUGGGGGGCAAGGAGAGCUGUGUGUAUACAGGUGGUGUGGAAUGGUGUGUGGGUGGGUGUGGGUGCGUGUGGUUUGGCUGGGUGGUGUGGCUGGUUGUGUGCAUUUUGACACUAUGGUGAAUAUGUGUAUGUGCGUUUCAGAAGAGGUAGAGUUAUGCAUUUUAAUGCUUCAUGUGUUGGUUUUGUGUGUGUUUGCAAUAUCAGUGUUAUACCUGUAUUCAUGCAUCCUGUCAGGGUAAGAAUUUAGGGAGUGGAGGGAUUUGGGAGAUUGGGGUUGUUAGUGUAUUGGGGUGUUUUGAGUGGUGUGUGCAUAAUUGAGGGGUGUAGACAUGGUAUUUAUAGGUUCUCAAGAGGGAGAUGGGUGUACGUUUGUAUCAGCAUGGUAAGGUCAUUGUUUUUUGGGGGGAGUGACCAUUUAGGAGAAGGUAGGAAACCCUGUCUGUGUCUGUCUGAGGGUAUUUAUGUAUUUGAGCUUUGAAAGCAUGCCUAUGUGGAUGUUCACAGCUCUAGGGGACUGUGUGUGGUAUAUGUGGGAUUAGAGGAUUGUGUCUAACGUUAAGGAGUAUGUGAGUUUGGUUUUAAUGUAUUCAGUUAUUGUUGGAGGGUUUGUGUGCAUUGCAUUGGGGUUUUAUGAGGUUGAGUGGAUUUUUUGGGGAUAUGGGGAUGGUUGGAAGUGCAUUUUUUUAGUUAAAAAUUUUUAAAUGUAUGUUUGUUUUGAGAGAGACAGAGGCAGAGUGUGAGCGGGAGAGGGACAGACAGAGAGGGAGACACAGAAUCUGAGCAGCCUCCAGGCUCUGAGUUGUCAACAAAGAGUCCGACACAGGGCUUGAUCCCAUGGACUGCAGGAUCAUGACCUGAGCCGAAGUCGGAUGCUUAACUGACUGAGCCACCCAGGUUCCCUGGGAGUGCAUUAUUUUAUUGAAGACCAUAGCUGUAAUUUUAUUGGGGCUGAGGGUUCAUGUAUAUUUGGGGCAUGAGGGUUCUGGGUACACAACCAGGCAUCUGAUAGGUAGAGGGUUUGUGUGUUUGAGGAUGUGUGGAGCUCUGUGGGCCUGUUUGAUGGUGGCACAGAUGACUGUGACUGGGUGGAGUGUCUGUUGGCCUGGGAGUGGGAUAUGGGGCUGUAUUGGUGGCUGUAAGUCUCCCCCAUGUGUACUGACCCUUGUUUGUUCUGACCUUCUGUGACUUGCCGUCAUCCUGUCUCUUCUCUAGGGCAGCCAUUCCCCUGGAACUGUCCGCAGUCUUCUCAUUUUCACCUGGGUUGGACUGGAAAUAUCACUUCUGCUGGUGGCUGGAUGCAGAAUGGGGCUGAGUCCCCCAGGAGUCCUGUCCUCAGUGGGGUGGCUGGCAAGUCAGCUGAGUCUCCUGUGCUUGAGGGUAAUGGCCUUAUGAAGAAGAGGUGCUGUAGUGCCCUGCAGUAUAGUGUCACCUGUUCCCCAGGACCUGGUGCUUCCGGGAGUGACUCUAAGACGCAUACUGAAGUAUUCACUGGUAAAAUGAUAUCUGGGAUUUGCUGCAAAAUACUUCAGCAGAGAAAACCAAAAAGGAAGAGAGGAAGAGCAGAAUGUUGACAAUUGCUGAAGCCGAUGCACAGAUGCUCUUUGAAAAUUCUCGCUAUCUUUGUAUUUGUAAAAUUUUCAUAAUAAAUUUUAAAUUUAAUAAUCCCA